rnacentral:rRNA from 1 species
AACGCGAAGACCCUUACCUACUCUUGACAUCCAGAGAACUUAGCAGAGAUGCUUUGGUGCCUUCGGGAACUCUGAGACAGGUGCUGCAUGGCUGUCGUCAGCUCGUGUUGUGAAAUGUUGGGUUAAGUCCCGCAACGAGCGCAACCCUUAUCCUUUGUUGCCAGCGGUCCGGCCGGGAACUCAAAGGAGACUGCCAGUGAUAAACUGGAGGAAGGUGGGGAUGACGUCAAGUCAUCAUGGCCCUUACGAGUAGGGCUACACACGUGCUACAAUGGCGCAUACAAAGAGAAGCGAACUCGCGAGAGCAAGCGGACCUCAUAAAGUGCGUCGUAGUCCGGAUUGGAGUCUGCAACUCGACUCCAUGAAGUCGGAAUCGCUAGUAAUCGUAGAUCAGAAUGCUACGGUGAAUACGUUCCCGGGCCUUGUACACACCG